rnacentral:rRNA from 1 species
GACGAACGCUGGCGGCGUGCUUAACACAUGCAAGUCGAACGGAAAGGCCCUGCUUUUGUGGGGUGCUCGAGUGGCGAACGGGUGAGUAACACGUGAGUAACCUGCCCUUUACUUUGGGAUAACUUCAGGAAACUGGGGCUAAUACCGGAUAGGAGCUCCUGCUGCAUGGUGGGGGUUGGAAAGUUUCGGCGGUUGGGGAUGUACUCGCGGCUUAUCAGCUUGUUGGUGGGGUAGUGGCUUACCAAGGCUUUGACGGGUAGCCGGCCUGUGAGGGUGACCGGGCACAUUGGGACUGAGAUACGGCCCAGAAUGCUACGGGAGGCAGCAGUGGGGAAUAUUGCACAAUGGGAGGAAGCCUGAUGAAGAAACGCCGCGUGCGGGAUGACGGCCUUCGGGUUGUAAACAGCUUUCGAAUGUGACGAAGAGUGAGUGACGGUAAUGGGUAAAGAAGCACCGGCUAACUACGUG